CCGUCAACAUGAGGAUGAAUUAAAGGGUUCAGAAACACAGUCAGCAGAAGCACGGAGAGAGGCUGUUCUUCCCCUUUUGUUUCCUUGUUGUGAAGAAAUUGGUCUGAGCCUUGAUGUUGGGUCAAAACAAAGUCUAGAUCCAGGUUUGUUGACAAAGGGUGUGAUGUUAGAAUUGGUACACUUCACCAGAAUUCUGACUGCAUCCUACAGCCCUAUUGUUCUGGGUGUGUUGGAGCACAAUUUUGAACUCGAUGUCAGUAGUCGACAGGCAAAAAGUCGAGUUUGGUUCAAGAUAUCACACCUGCUGAAAAGAAGAAAGCGAUUUCUCACCACUGGUAGCAAAAUGACCCCGGAGUUUAAAAAUGAGAGGUUUUCGUUCCAGACAAAUCCCUUCAAGAGAACUACUGGAUCACCACUGUCCAAUGUGGAAGGCCCACAGUAUCAGCUUAAGGAAGUGACAAAAAGAAGGCAGUCUGAUUUAAAAAGUAAACAGGAAAAGACGGCUCUGUCAACAACAGGUGAAAGGGGAAACAAAAGGUGCAGAAGAGAACAGUCUAAAGAAAUGGAGACCAACACACUCUCUCCUAACACUAUGUAUACCGGUCAAAUAACAAAGGAAGAUCAUUGUUACACUUGUCCUCUAGGAGAGUCUGAUCUAGACUCAGACACUGGCAAUAAAUGUGACAUGGAACAAGAGGAAAUGAGAGCAGAGAUCAACUACACUUGUCCUCUAGGAGAGUCUGAUCUAGACUCAGACGCUGGCAAUAAAUGUGACAUGGAACAAGAGGAAAUGAGAGCAGAGAUCAACUACACUUGUCCUCUAGGAGAGUCUGAUCUAGACUCAGACACUGGCAAUACAUGUGACAUGGAACAAGAGGAAAUGGGAACUGAGAACAACAUGUGGAAGUUGCGCGCUAAUUGUGUAAAACAAAUCCUCUCCUCACUAAACAAAGAGUUGGGUCCAUCUAAGGAAUUUUGCAUUGAAUUCAAUGUUGGAUUUGGCCCAAAGCAAAACAUCAGUAUUGACUCUUUGCCUAAUUAUCUGCUUGAAGUUGCUAAAUUUGCCUUAGCAAUGAAUUCUUCCCGGCAGGAUUUCAUCACAGAGAUUCUUGAGUACAACUUUGAUAUCUGCCUGCAGAGUAAAUGGCAAAAGAAUAUUUUCACUUCUGAAAUUUUGAAUAGAGUAAGAAAGCUGAGAAGAUGUGAAGGCGCAGUCAAAAUCUCAAAAGAGGUCUCUGAACUUCCUGGUCCCAUGCCAUCAAUAAAUAUGAUGAAUCACACUGUGGACAGUGUAAAACAUGAACUCAGCAGAAUACUGAGAAUGGAGGGGUGUGAUGUUGCUCCUGUGUGUCCUCCUCAUUCACAUGCUGAAACUACAGAACAUAUUUCAGCCAAGAGUGUGGAUCAUUAUCCCUUCUGCGAGGAAAUAGGUCUGAAGCUACAUGUCAACAAACAUCAACAAAACAAAAAACUGGAUAUCGACAAACUGACCAAUGGAGCAAUGAAUGAAGUGACAAACUUUGCAGAAAAGUUGUGUGGAACAUUUGAGCAGAUUUGUCUCGACAUUCUCGGACACAACUUUAAUCUUGAUUUGCAAAGUGGAGAUUCUGACCUUGCCAGAAGUAUUGUUGCACAAAUUCCUGCUGUAAUGGCGCAAAUAAAUCUAGUAACCUGUGCACAAGUCGGUAAGGGAGUAAAGAUCACUGGAAAAGAAUUCUCAACAAUGAUAAAACUGGAUUGCCAGAAAAACCCAAAUUCUGAUAUAUGUGAUGUUGGUUCUUCCCAGGCUGCGAUCAUAGACCAAGAUGUAGGCAGUUCUGCUGACACUAAACACCAAAAUGAGCUCAAUUUAAAGCUGUGGUGUUUCCGUGCCAAUUAUAUUCAGGAAAUCCUCUCGGUACCUCAUGAAGAACAUUGCCCACUUUAUUCUUACACCAGAUGCAAGAAAUUAGGCAUUAAUUUUAAUGUAGGAUCUGGAGUAAAACAAAAACUUGAUCCCAAAUCACUGACCAAUGGCAUUAUGGUUGAAUUGAACACUUUUGCCACAGCACUAUCUUCCCAAAAGCAUGUCAUCACAGAGAUACUGGACUAUAAUUUUCAUCUCGACUUCGACAAUGAGGUAUAUCGCAGUGCCUUUGCACAGCAAAUGAUGGAUAAAGUUAGAGUAUCGCAUGCGAAGAAAAGAUACAGAGUUCCUAGAAUGAAAAUGCGUUUUAAACUCCCUGACAUUAAGUGCAUACAACAACUUGCAUAUAUGGACAAAACUGCAUAUUGCCCCAAAUGCUAUCAAGACAGAAGUCAGAAACUUCGCCAGGAUUACUCUGACCCUGGUCACAUGCAUCACCCCCGUCUGCAUACAAUGGUUGACACAGUCUCUGCUGAUGCAAACUGCACAGCACGAAAGCCUGCAAAGGAUCCGUCCUCUAGCUUCUCAGCAAUAGAGAAGACUAUAAUGGACAGCUACCCUGGCUGCAAGAAAAUAGGUUUGAGCCUGUUUGUGGACAAAGACCAACCAAAACAUAAACUUGACACUUGUGUAUUGUCCCAUGAGAUUAUGUGGGAAGUGGCUAGUUUUGCCAAAACAUUUUGUGGAACAAAAUGUAAGAUCAUUCAUGAGGUCCUAGAACACAACUUUAACCUCGGCAUGCAGAGGUCAGAUAUUGCACAGUUGUUUCGCAAAGCAGCAUCACUAAAGGAUGGCGGCCUUACCUGGUUCAGUGAAGUUUUUGUUAUUUCGCCAAUUUCUCACAGACCACUUGGAUAUGUAGGUAAAGUGGCACGGGAAGCUGCCAAACAGAGUGUAUGGAAGGAAUCCAUCAAAAACAGAAAGCUGGCACUGCAAAUGAAGAAGCAAAGAGCCACACUACCAAGUGAUAAUAUAAAUGUCGUAAAAGAAUCAGAGACAAAUCAUGACUGUAAAGUAAUGAAAAGAGCUUAUCCCUUAUGCACAGAGAUGGGUUUGGAUCUUGACGUGACAUCUAAAACGGGAGAGAAAGAAAAACUGGAGUUGAAGCUAUUGACAAGAGCUGUAGUAUGGGAGAUGCAUACAUUUGCAAGGAAGAAACCCGGAAAGUUUUUGCCACACAUGGUCUAUGACAUCCUUGACUAUAACUUUGAUCUUAGCUCACAGAAUCACAGGUGCUGGGAAUUUUCCAAGGCUACAACAUCCAAAAUCCAAUCCAUGAUCAGGGGUUAUCAUAAACUGCCACAUAAAGUAGACAAGGUCUUCAAAUUGCCAUUUGACUUUGUUUCCAAGUCUUCACAAAGGAUUGCAAAGGAGAUGCAAAAUAAGAAAUGUACAACGAAUGAGGGUCAUUUUGUUCGCCAAGUGAAAUACCGUUCAGGUGUCAAUCGAGUCUAUUUUCUCGACGGUUACAAAACUAAGGGAGCUUGCUUCCAUGAUGAGGACACACCGUUCCCUACAGAUCCUGGGACGAUGGUGCAGAUGGAUGGGAAUCAAGUGAAUGUUGGUUGUGGCAGUCAUUUCCAGGGAAACCUACAGAUUAAAGAGGAGUACGAUCCAUCUAAUGGCAAUGUAAAACCAGAACCGGACACUGAGGAAAAACAUUGUGUUGAUUACAAAACUAAGAAGGAAGCUUGCUUCCAUGGUGAGGACACACCGUUCCCUACAGAUCCUGUGACGAUAGUGCAGAUGGAUGGGAAUGAAGUGAAUGUUGGUUGUGGCAGUCCUUUCCGGGGAAACCUACAGAUUAAAGAGGAGUACGAUCCAUCUAAUGGCAAUGUAAAACCAGAACCGGACACAGAGGAAAAAUGUUGUCUCGAUGAUUACAAAACUAAGAAGGAAGCUUGGUUCCAUGAUCAGGACACACCGUUCCCUACAGAUCCUGUGACGAUAGUGCAGAUGGAUGGGAAUGAAGUGAAUGUUGGUUGUGGCAGUCCUUUCCAGGGAAACCUACAGAUUAAAGAGGAGGAGUACGAUCCAUCUAAUGGCAAUGUAAAACCAGAACCGGACACUGAGGAAAAAUAUAGUCCUCUUCAUGAUGAUGUUGAAACGGAGUCAAACACUGAGGAAUUUGUGUAUAUAGUCCCAGUUGACACAGCAGCAUUCCAUGAAUACUUAUGGUAACUAUAGGUCAGGGCAAUGAGAGCACAUUGAGCAAAGAAUAGCAGGACAAUGAGCCCGUUAACUCGCACUAUUAUGGAGUUCUCAGAAAGUGAAGUGGGCUUCUAACAGGAAUGAGAUCUUUUAACGUUCUAAAUUGUAGUUGUGUUCUACACUAAACAUGCUGGUAGUUGCCUUGUUGCUAUGCUUUGUAUUUCAUGUCGAGGGAGAAUAUAGUUGAUGAUUUAUUUUAUAAAUACUUCUGGAAUGUUUACUUUAAAAUGCUCACUGUUUAACUCCUAGUCAGGUAAUGGAAGAUUCAUAUACCCGAAUAAAAUGUUGCAAUGCAUAGGGCUGACUGAAAAUUUCAUGUGCCACCUUUGGCGAUUUGUAAAAUAUUUGUUUUUUGUUUUCUUCUAUAGUCAGCUUUUGGUAAUUUCUCAUGAGGAUAUUUUGACACUGAACUUUACUUGGUGGAUAGCAGAUUAUUGUCAUUUAGGACAUUCUGGACUGUUUUUAGUGCUUGUUCUUCGAUAUUAGUGCCUUUUCUGACCUCACGCGGUCAUAGUUUUGUAUUUAUAUUUUUAUAUUUUGCUUGAUUAAAAUGAAAAGAUUUUGUAUAUUACAAACACUGUGUACAUUUCUUGAAGCUGUGAUAUAAAUUGGUAAAGAUGAGUGUGUCAGUACUUUACUCGUAUUUUAUAUAAUACAGAUAAACACUAGAAAGGAAAAUGAUCUGGAUGUUGAUACUCUUCUCUAUUGUUCCUUGCCAUUUUGGUACAUGUUAUAUAAAAUUUGCGCUUUCUGUCUACUUCUGUGUGUUCAGUGUGGUGCAGAUAAAUCUCUGAUCUUUCAUAUACGCAUCACUGCUUUAAGAGUAUUUAACACCAACUGUCAUAUCUUAAAUUGUCACCCAUCCUCAACUCAAACAAAAUGACAGGGGCAGUAACGUUAUGGCAGUUAACUUGUAGAUGUAAUGCUCAAAGUGAGCUGUUGGCUGUGCUCCACACCAGCAGUGUUACAUAGGCCAGAUAGGAGGAAAAAAGGAUAUGAUGCAGAGUUGGCUUAAUAAAAUUAUACGGUUAAACCCCAAAUCGGCUUUGAUUACAAAAUGAUGUACAACUUUGACUUUAGCCCUUUAAAUACACAUAUGCAUCUCAGUAAGUGGUGUGUGAAUGAAUCAGUCAUUUUACUUUGACUCUGUCCAAUUGCCUAUACAAAUCAUUAACACACACAACCAGAGCACUGAAAUCAG
ensembl:lncRNA